UUUUUCAAAAUUUUAUUUUUGGCUUAUAUUUAAAUUAUAUAAAUGCUUCUUCACAAAAAGUUUCGUUGAAAUCGCAAAAGCAGUUUUGGAGAUAAUCGGAUUUAAAAAAAAAACGGUUCUAUGGCAGGUACCGUUAAUAAUGAUUUUCAAAAAAAAUUAGAAGAUAGACCUUAACUUUAAACUAACACUUGAAUUUUUUAAAUAAAAUCGUUAGAGCCGUUUUCGAGAUAUUACAAUUUUACUAAAAUCGGUAUAUGACAAGUACCGUUAUUUUUGGUCCAAAAAAAUUAAUUCCAAAAACCCCUCUGGAGAGUCGCCAAAUAACGCUACAUACCAGGUUUGGCAUUAUCUACUAUCGUAAUGUCAUGGAAAAAUGUUAUCUCAACUUUUUUUUUGUACGUAUGCAUAACUUGAUAUAUAGUACCUAUAUCGCAAGUAAAAAAAGAUAAUGUGAUGUCAAUUGCCCAUGGGUAAGCUAAUUGGGGAUAAUGUAUGUUAAUAAAACAGCUAAUAGCGCAUGAUGGUCAUGGUUUGAGUAUACCAUUGCAUGAUGGCCAUUUCUGUUUCAACCUCCAAUUAGAUAGUGUGGAGUAGUCUGUUUUUCUUUAAAAGCUGAAAGUGGUAAGCUUUACUUACGAUAUAAAAAAAAGUUUGAGAAAGUGCAGUGCGGCAAUUUUGUUAUAUUCUUUUUAACGAAAUAGUAGUCGUAUCCGACGGAAAUAAAAAAAAAAAGUUACAUACUCUAAGGAGAAAAUUCAAAAGUUGGGAACAGGAAAUUUUUUUUUUUUUUUUCAAAAAAUAGAGUAAGUGAUAUCUUGUUAAGAUUUAUUAAAGACAUGACCUAACCCCAAAUCCAGUUAAUAGGGAAUUGGGGGUCACAGACAAGGUCACCGAGGCCGCCGAGGUUUUAUUCUUCUUGAAGGAUUUUUGUAAUCAUCAACAGAUAAGUUCCUUAUCAGAAGGAACUAACGACCUUCGGAGAUUCAUUCAACUGAAAAAAAAAAAAAAAUCAAAUGUCAAAUCGCAGCAAUAAGGCUGUGAGAGCUAUCCGAUUCAUCGAAGACCAAGGCAUAUUAGAUUAGAGAGAUCAAAAGUGGAGCUUAAAUUUGGAAAAUAGUUUAUCAACGGCCCACGUUUAUUGAAAGAUGCUACGUUUGCGAAGCCAGGUGGUGUUGAGAUGACCUCCCCUUCAAGCAAGAAAACAGAGCUCAGAAUAGACACUCCGACCUCAAAACGCGAAAUAUGAGUAAAAACGAGGUUACACUCACACACUUGCAACACAAAGCCGAAGUUCUCCUUCGUGAUGAAAAGUGCGAAAAGGAGAAAUGACGAAAGAAAGACAAAGGCAAGAAAAUGACAAAGCGCCAUUUUGUUAUUUAUUUGUUGACUGUUGCAGUUCCUCGCGUGUCGCGUAUCGUGCUAGUGACUCGUCAUAAGUAUUAAUAAUAUUGUUAUUAAUAUUAAUUGGAAUAAAAAAAGUUAAUCUUUUUUUGUUUUUCGUAGGAAAUCUUCUUCUUCGGCAAACCAACGCGUGAAGCCACCAGCAACAUUUAUCAGCAAUAAUUUUUUUCAUCAAUUUGUUGAACUGCAUCCAAUGCUACUCCAGUUGCUGUAUCAAAAGAAAAUUGUGAAAAUAUUUUUGUUUGUGAAAAUAAAAUAAAAAAAAAAUAAAUCAUGUUCUUUUUUUGGUUGCAAAUGGCUUCAAAUACCAUACGUCAUUCCUUUUUUCGAUUCUUUUUGUGGUUCUUUUUGUGCUCCGACUUGGCUACGAGCUCGGCUCCGUUUAUUCGGAAUGGAGAAUUUCACCACACCAAUUUAUUUUAAUUUUUCUUAAUUUACAUAGGUAUACAUUAUACAUAUAUAUAUUUAUUUCGUAUUUUCAAUUUUUUUUUGUUCAAUUGUUUUUUUUUGUUGGAAGUGUCGUAGGGCAUUAAAACCGUGAAUUGCCUUUUCCUCCUUCGUUGGCGAAAUUGGUACUUGUUUGAGCAUAUAAAAACCGCUAUAGACUACUAUACAGAGCUUUAUAUAGGUAGGGAAAUUAUCGUGAACGCGGGCGGAAAAGUAAGGUCAUAUUUUUGAUUAAAAAGGGGCUAGAGGAUUGCCAUAAGGAUUAAUGCCAUAUGCCAAAUUUGUAAAUUUCUUAAAUUAUAAUCAUUUUUUUUUUGUUUUCACAUUUUUUAGUUCUGCCAAUAAUUUUGAUUUGUUUCUGCUCAUUGAAUUGUUUUGUUUUAAGUUUCAAAUUCAAGUUAUUAUUUUUUUUCAAAUCCAAUGCGACCACAAAUUGAUUCUGAUGAUUUUCUUAUUUACUAAAUAUCGAAAUUGUGCUUUAAAGCUAUGAAAUAAAUUAUUGUAAAUCACGCCAACGCACAUAGGGGUAUUUACCAAUUUUAAGCGGACAAAAUUAUUUUUCCGGUUUAUCUUCAUCAACAAGGUAAAAGCUUGUAUUUAGUACUGGAAUAAAGUGUUUUAAGUGUUAAUUUUAAUGAAAAUAUUUUUUUUCCUAAACCACUAUUUGAUCAAACAAAAAAGUGUAAGGAAUGGAUCCCAAUGGUUUGUUAGAACUCUUAUAAAUGGAGUUCUUAAAAUUUAGGAAAAAUCAUAAGGAUUCAGGUUCUGUAAUUCAAAAAGUUGAAUCUUUAAAAAAACUUAAAAUAUGGAUGCUGAAUGCAGGGUAACCAUUUUUUAAAACCUAAAACCUUUAAGAAGGGCAAAUGUGUCGAAGUUGAACUUAGUUGCACUUAUUUUUUACAGAUUCAAUUAGAUAAGAGUUUAACCUUUGGAAAACAUUAAAUUUUAUCACACAAUAAUGUGAAAUUGUAUAACUUAUCUCCUUACCAACACAGAAAUUUACUUUUUUUACGAUUAAUUUAUAUUAAGAUUCAACAUAUCACUUUUUUAUUUAUAAAGUAAUACAACAUUUAGAUACAACAUCUAGUAGACAGUU